AGAGUUUGAUCAUGGCUCAGGAUGAACGCUAGCUACAGGCUUAACACAUGCAAGUCGAGGGGCAGCAUGGUCUUAGCUUGCUAAGGCCGAUGGCGACCGGCGCACGGGUGAGUAACGCGUAUCCAACCUGCCUUACACUCUUGGACAGCCUUCUGAAAGGGAGAUUAAUACAAGAUGUUAUCAUGAGUAAGCAUUUUCGCAUGAUUAAAGGUUUACCGGUGUAAGAUGGGGAUGCGUUCCAUUAGAUAGUAGGCGGGUAACGGCCACCUAGUCUUCGAUGGAUAGGGGUUCUGAGAGGAAGGUCCCCCANAUUGGAACUGAGACACGGUCCAAACUCCUACAGGAGGCA
rnacentral:rRNA from 1 species